rnacentral:miRNA from 1 species
CAACAGGACUCAAGCAUUUCGC